UACAGGCUUAACACAUGCAAGUCGAGGGGAAACGACAUCGAAAGCUUGCUUUUGAUGGGCGUCGACCGGCGCACGGGUGAGUAACGCGUAUCCAACCUGCCCACCACUUGGGGAUAACCUUGCGAAAGUAAGACUAAUACCCAAUGAUAUCUCUAGAAGACAUCUGAAAGAGAUUAAAGAUUUAUCGGUGAUGGAUGGGGAUGCGUCUGAUUAGCUUGUUGGCGGGGUAACGGCCCACCAAGGCUACGAUCAGUAGGGGUUCUGAGAGGAAGGUCCCCCACAUUGGAACUGAGACACGGUCCAAACUCCUACGGGAGGCAGCAGUGAGGAAUAUUGGUCAAUGGACGAGAGUCUGAACCAGCCAAGUAGCGUGCAGGAUGACGGCCCUAUGGGUUGUAAACUGCUUUUAUAAGGGAAUAAAGUGAGUCUCGUGAGACUUUUUGCAUGUACCUUAUGAAUAAGGACCGGCUAAUUCCGUGCCAGCAGCCGCGGUAAUACGGAAGGUCCGGGCGUUAUCCGGAUUUAUUGGGUUUAAAGGGAGCGUAGGCCGGAGAUUAAGCGUGUUGUGAAAUGUAGACGCUCAACGUCUGCACUGCAGCGCGAACUGGUUUCCUUGAGUACGCACAAAGUGGGCGGAAUUCGUGGUGUAGCGGUGAAAUGCUUAGAUAUCACGAAGAACUCCGAUUGCGAAGGCAGCUCACUGGAGCGCAACUGACGCUGAAGCUCGAAAGUGCGGGUAUCGAACAGGAUUAGAUACCCUGGUAGUCCGCACGGUAAACGAUGGAUGCCCGCUGUUGGUCUGAAUAGGUCAGCGGCCAAGCGAAAGCAUUAAGCAUCCCACCUGGGGAGUACGCCGGCAACGGUGCAACUCAAAUGAAUUGACGGA
rnacentral:rRNA from 1 species